rnacentral:rRNA from 1 species
UACGAAGGGGGCUAGCGUUGCUCGGAAUCACUGGGCGUAAAGGGUGCGUAGGCGGGUCUUUAAGUCAGGGGUGAAAUCCUGGAGCUCAACUCCAGAACUGCCUUUGAUACUGAAGAUCUUGAGUUUCGGGAGAGGGUGAGUGGAACUGCGAGUGUAGAGGUGAAAUUCGUAGAUAUUCGCAAGAACACCAGUGGCGAAGGCGGCUCACUGGCCCGAUACUGACGCUGAGGCACGAAAGCGUGGGGAGCAAACAGG